rnacentral:lncRNA from 1 species
CAAAAUUCCUUUUCUGCCCCUUAAAACUUUGUAGUACUCCUGGCCGGAUACAAUGGCUCAUACCUGUAAUCCAGGACUUUGGGAGGCCGAGGGGGCAGGAUUGCUUGAGUCCAGGAGUUGGAGACCAGCCUGGACAACAUGGUGAGAUUCGGUCUCCACAAAAAAUUUUAAAAAUUAGCUGGGCGUGGUGGCAUGCAGAGGUGCAUGCCAGAGGUGGUCCCAGCUACUCGGGAGCCUGAGGUGGGAGGAUCGCUGAAGCCCAGGAAGCUGAGGCUGAGGUGCAUACCACCACACUCCAGCCUGGGCGACAGCAAGACCCUGUCUAACACACACACACACACCCAACACACACACACGGACACCCUAACACACACAUACACACACCCUAACACACACCCUGUGUAAAACAACACUCUCAACCCUGUCUAAAAAACACACACUCCCUAAAACACACACACCCAUCUCACACACAUGCACUCACCCUAACACACACACCCUAACACACAUACACACCGUCUAAAACACACACACCCCCGUCUCACACACAUGCACUCAAACACACAUACACACCCUAACACACAUACACACCGUCUGAAACACACACACCCCCAUCUCACACAUGCACUCACCCAACACACACUGUCUAAAACACACACACCCUGUCUAAAACACACAUACAUACCUUAACACACACAUAUCCUGUCUAAAACACACACCCAUACUUUAAUACACAGACACCCACACCCUAACACACAUACCACACCCUAAAACACAAACACACCCUAACACACACGCAUACAGACCAUACACACCCGUCUAAAACACACAUACACACAUCUUAACACACAUCCUGUCUAGAACACACACCCAUACUUUUAACACAUAGUCUAGGACACACACACCCUGUUUAAAACACACAUACAUACCUUAACACACAUCCUGUCCAAAACACACACCCAUACUUUAACACACAGUCUAAGACACACACACCCUAACACAUACCACACCCUAAAACACACAAACACACCUUCACACACACACACACACACACAGACCAUAACACACACACCUGUCUAAAACACACAUACACACCUUAACACACACACACUCUGUCUAAAACACACACCCAUAUCUUAAUACAGUCUAAAACACACACACUGUCUAAAACACACACCCUAACACACACAUACCCUAACACACACGCUCUAAAACACACCCUGACACACACACCCUGUCUAAACACACACCCUAACACAUACACCGUCUCACACACACACACCCUGUCUAAAACACACACACACCACCUAACACACACACCCUGUCUCACACACACCCUAUCUAAAACACACACACCCUAACACACACACCCUGUCUCUCACACACACACCCUGUCUAAAACACACACACACCCUAACACAUACACAUUGUGUCUAAAACACACACACGCACCCUAACACACACACCCUGUCUAAAACACACACCCCAUCACACGCACACACCCUAACACACAUACACCCUGAUUCACACACAUACAACCUGUCUAAAACACACACCCUAACACACACUCUAACACACACAUACACACAGACACUUUGUGGUAUUCCUGAGACAUUCAACCACUGCAGAGCAUUAUUUAAAUGCCAUAAAAAUGCAUCUUUAUGGAUCAUUUCUAUAUUAAAAUAUAAUAAUCUUGGCGGCCACAAUAGUUAAAAUAAACAGAUUCAAGAUCAAAUAAAGUUAGAGCAGAAC